CAUAAACUUAACAUUAACCAAGUAAACUAAACAUUGACCAAUGAACCAUGAAAAUGAGGUCAAAGUCAGAUGAACCAUGCUAGGCAGGCAUGUACAGCUAACAAUUCUUCCAUACAACAAAUAUAGUUGACCUAUUGCUUAUAGUUUAAGAAAAACAGACCAAAACACAAAAACUUAACACUGAGCAAUGAACCUUGAAAAUGAGGUCAAGGUCAAAUAAAACCUGCUUGACUGCCAAAUAGAUCAUAAAAUAUUUCCAUACACCGAAUAUAGUUGAACUAUUGCAUAUAGUAUUAGAAAAAAAGACCAAAACUCAAAAAACUUAACUUUGACCACUGAACCAUGAAAAUGAGGUCAAGGUCAGAUGACACCUGCCCGCUAGACAUGUACACCUUACAAUCAUUCCAUACACCAAAUAUAGUAGACCUAUGGCAUACAGUAUAAGAAAAACAGACCAAAACACAAAAACUUAACUAUAACCACUGAACCAUGAAAAUGAGGUCAAGGUCAGAUGACACCUGCCAGUUGGACAUGUACACCUUACAGUCCUUCCAUACACCAAAUAUACUAGACCUAUUGCUUAUAGUAUCUGAGAUAUGGACUUGACCACCAAAACCUAACCUUGUUCACUGAUCCAUGAAAUGAGGUCGAGGUCAAGUGAAAACUGUCUGACGGGCAUGAGGACCUUGCAAGGUACGCACAUACCAAAUAUAGUU